rnacentral:rRNA from 1 species
GACGAACGCUGGCGGCGUGCUUAACACAUGCAAGUCGAGCGGUAAGGCCCUUUCGGGGGUACGACGAGCGGCGAACGGGUGAGUAACACGUGGGUGACCUGCCUCUAGCUCUGGGAUAAGCCUGGGAAGCUGGGUCUAAUACCGGAUAUGACCUCGCGGUGCAUGUUGCGGGGUGGAAAGCCUUGUGCGGCUAGGGAUGGGCCCGCGGCCUAUCAGCUUGUUGGUGGGGUGANGGCCUACCAAGGCGACGACGGGUAGCCGGCCUGAGAGGGCGACCGGCCACACUGGGACUGAGACACGGCCCAGACUCCUACGGGAGGCAGCAGUGGGGAAUCUUGCGCAAUGGGCGAAAGCCUGACGCAGCGACGCCGCGUGAGGGAUGACGGCC